rnacentral:rRNA from 1 species
UUAAGCGACUAAGCGUACACGGUGGAUGCCUAGGCAGUCAGAGGCGAUGAAGGGCGUGCUAAUCUGCGAAAAGCGUCGGUAAGCUGAUAUGAAGCGUUAUAACCGACGAUACCCGAAUGGGGAAACCCAGUGCAAUACGUUGCACUAUCGUUAGAUGAAUACAUAGUCUAACGAGGCGAACCGGGGGAACUGAAACAUCUAAGUACCCCGAGGAAAAGAAAUCAACCGAGAUUCCCCCAGUAGCGGCGAGCGAACGGGGAGGAGCCCAGAGUCUGAAUCAGUUUGUGUGUUAGUGGAAGCGUCUGGAAAGUCGCACGGUACAGGGUGAUAGUCCCGUACACCAAAAUGCACAGGCUGUGAACUCGAUGAGUAGGGCGGGACACGUGACAUCCUGUCUGAAUAUGGGGGGACCAUCCUCCAAGGCUAAAUACUCCUGACUGACCGAUAGUGAACCAGUACCGUGAGGGAAAGGCGAAAAGAACCCCGGCGAGGGGAGUGAAAUAGAACCUGAAACCGUGUACGUACAAGCAGUGGGAGCACCUUCGUGGUGUGACUGCGUACCUUUUGUAUAAUGGGUCAGCGACUUAUAUUUUGUAGCAAGGUUAACCGAAUAGGGGAGCCGUAGGGAAACCGAGUCUUAACUGGGCGUCUAGUUGCAAGGUAUAGACCCGAAACCCGGUGAUCUAGCCAUGGGCAGGUUGAAGGUUGGGUAACACUAACUGGAGGACCGAACCGACUAAUGUUGAAAAAUUAGCGGAUGACUUGUGGCUGGGGGUGAAAGGCCAAUCAAACCGGGAGAUAGCUGGUUCUCCCCGAAAGCUAUUUAGGUAGCGCCUCGUGAACUCAUCUUCGGGGGUAGAGCACUGUUUCGGCUAGGGGGCCAUCCCGGCUUACCAAACCGAUGCAAACUCCGAAUACCGAAGAAUGUUAUCACGGGAGACACACGGCGGGUGCUAACGUCCGUCGUGAAGAGGGAAACAACCCAGACCGCCAGCUAAGGUCCCAAAGUCAUGGUUAAGUGGGAAACGAUGUGGGAAGGCACAGACAGCCAGGAUGUUGGCUUAGAAGCAGCCAUCAUUUAAAGAAAGCGUAAUAGCUCACUGGUCGAGUCGGCCUGCGCGGAAGAUGUAACGGGGCUAAACCAUGCACCGAAGCUGCGGCAGCGACACUUAGGUGUUGUUGGGUAGGGGAGCGUUCUGUAAGCCGUUGAAGGUGACCUGUGAGGGUUGCUGGAGGUAUCAGAAGUGCGAAUGCUGACAUAAGUAACGAUAAUGCGGGUGAAAAACCCGCACGCCGGAAGACCAAGGGUUCCUGUCCAACGUUAAUCGGGGCAGGGUGAGUCGACCCCUAAGGCGAGGCUGAAAAGCGUAGUCGAUGGGAAACAGGUUAAUAUUCCUGUACUUGGUGUUACUGCGAAGGGGGGACGGAGAAGGCUAGGCUGGCCGGGCGACGGUUGUCCCGGUUUAAGCGUGUAGGGGGAGUGACCAGGUAAAUCCGGUUGCUUAUCAACCCUGAGGCGUGAUGACGAUGCACCACGGUGCAGAAGCAGUUGAUGCCAUGCUUCCAGGAAAAGCCUCUAAGCAUCAGGUAACAUUAAAUCGUACCCCAAACCGACACAGGUGGUCAGGUAGAGAAUACUCAGGCGCUUGAGAGAACUCGGGUGAAGGAACUAGGCAAAAUGGUGCCGUAACUUCGGGAGAAGGCACGCUGGCGUUAGGUGAAAGGACUAGCUCCUGGAGCUGAAGCCAGUCGCAGAUACCAGCUGGCUGCAACUGUUUAAUAAAAACACAGCACUGUGCAAACACGAAAGUGGACGUAUACGGUGUGACGCCUGCCCGGUGCUGGAAGGUUAAUUGAUGGGGUCAGCCGCAAGGGGAAGCUCUUGAUCGAAGCCCCAGUAAACGGCGGCCGUAACUAUAACGGUCCUAAGGUAGCGAAAUUCCUUGUCGGGUAAGUUCCGACCUGCACGAAUGGCGUAAUGAUGGCCAGGCUGUCUCCACCCGAGACUCAGUGAAAUUGAACUCGCUGUGAAGAUGCAGUGUACCCGCGGCAAGACGGAAAGACCCCGUGAACCUUUACUAUAGCUUGACACUGAACAUUGAGCCUUGAUGUGUAGGAUAGGUGGGAGGCCUUGAAGUGUGGACGCCAGUCUGCAUGGAGCCAACCUUGAAAUACCACCCUUUAAUGUUUGAUGUUCUAACUCGGCCCCAUGAUCUGGGGUGAGGACAGUGUCUGGUGGGUAGUUUGACUGGGGCGGUCUCCUCCCAAAGAGUAACGGAGGAGCACGAAGGUUAGCUAAUCACGGUCGGACAUCGUGAGGUUAGUGCAAAGGCAUAAGCUAGCUUGACUGCGAGAGUGACGGCUCGAGCAGGUACGAAAGUAGGUCUUAGUGAUCCGGUGGUUCUGAAUGGAAGGGCCAUCGCUCAACGGAUAAAAGGUACUCCGGGGAUAACAGGCUGAUACCGCCCAAGAGUUCAUAUCGACGGCGGUGUUUGGCACCUCGAUGUCGGCUCAUCACAUCCUGGGGCUGAAGUAGGUCCCAAGGGUAUGGCUGUUCGCCAUUUAAAGUGGUACGCGAGCUGGGUUUAGAACGUCGUGAGACAGUUCGGUCCCUAUCUGCCGUGGGCGUUGGAAGAUUGAGAGGGGCUGCUCCUAGUACGAGAGGACCGGAGUGGACGAAUCACUGGUGUUCGGGUUGUCACGCCAAUGGCAUUGCCCGGUAGCUAAAUUCGGAAGAGAUAACCGCUGAAAGCAUCUAAGCGGGAAACUUGCCUCGAGAUGAGUCUUCCCUGGGGCUUAAAGCCCCCUGAAGGAACGUUAAAGACUAUGACGUUGAUAGGCUGGGUGUGUAAGUGCAGCGAUGUAUUGAGCUAACCAGUACUAAUGAUCCGUGAGGCUUAACCUU